rnacentral:sRNA from 12 species
UGACCACUUUUGCCGAUCAAAGGCAGAAGUCAAGGCUGCGGUGAAGCCGGGUCAAAUGCCGA